UGACCGUACUAAGGUAGCAUAAUAAUUUGCCUUUUAAUUGGAGGCUAGUAUGAAUGGCUUGACGUGAAAUAUACUGUCUCAACUAUAUUUAGUAGAAUUUAACCUUUAGGUGAAGAGGCCUAAAUUUUGUGGGAAGACAAGAAGACCCUAUUGAGCUUUAAAUAUUUAUGUUAGUGGGAACCUAAGAUUUAUAUGAUGGUCAUUACUUCUAAGUAUGUUGGUUGGGGCGACCGAGGAGUAUAAAGUAACCUCCUUGUAAUGUAAAGAAUUUGUUAUCAACGAACCUGUAAUAUAGGUUAUUCGGUAGUUACCAUAGGGAUAACAGCGUAAUUCUUUUGAAGAGUUCAUAUCGAAGAAAGAGAUUGCGACCUCGAUGUUGGAUUAAGGUGUCCUAAGGG
rnacentral:rRNA from 1 species